UAGAAAUGUCUGAGCCGGAUAUGCUUC
rnacentral:piRNA from 1 species